CGCGCCCUUGGGGGCUAGCGUUUGGCCGGAGCUACACACUCUUUACUCACGCACGCACACCGCCGUACACAGCACAAUCGUUCACCGUCCCGCCAAAGGCUCGUCUCUCGGGUUCUGCCUAGUGGAAGGAGUCGGACAACGCCGCACGUCACGGGCGUUUCGGAUUUCUUGCUUCCCAAAGGUUUGACGGCGGCCACCGGCGCCCCGGCCCAGCUCUGCUUUCCUUUGCUGACUCCUUCCUUUAGGUGUGAAUUUUAAAAUGCUGAUACCGCCCCAAGAGAGCUGAGUCAAGUGAGGCAAACGUUCGCCUGUUGUUCUCCUGACAGACUCCCUGCAGUGGGCAGGGGAAAUGUGGCCUUGGCCGACAUUAAUGAAGUGCCAGGAUGGAGGGAGGGGGCCUGCUGAUUUGUUCUGUUUUACUUUUUAAGGGUAACUAGAGCGUUACUGGAGUCGUCUGUGGGUUUGGGGAGUAUGUGGCGCGUGUGUGUGUCACACAUUUCACUGGCAACUCCCGCCAACCCCUUCCCAAGAAAUGAAGGCUCUAAUGUGGGCAGUUCUGCAACAAAGGUGAAACUUCCCCAAAUCACGAUUCCCCGCAAGAUGAGAGAGCAGGUGCAGCAUCCAUUUUCCCACUAUCACGCUUGAGAUGGUGGCUUUGGGCACUGCCGGGUGCCCCGACAUCCUUCCCAGAGCCCAGCCUUCCCACCCAGGCCCGGCCCUGCGCGGCCGCCUGCCUUUGCAUCAGAGACCGCGGCUGUGCCAUUGCCAAGGUGGGCAGCGCCGCCUCGCUUCCCCAUUCCUCCGUCUCCCACGCCUCUUGCGUGUUUGAGUCGCGAAGUGAUGGACUUUAAAUCUCAGAGGAGGAAUGAGAAACUUGGUUAGUGGCUCUCUUGGCAUGUUCGUAGCCCUGUGGUUGAAGUGGCUGAAACCUGCGUUGAGCCUCAGUCCAAGCAGCUGGGGCCACACCAGUUUGCAAAAGCGGAUGUGGCAGUUUCCACCGCAGCAGCAGCCUGCUGGCGCCUCAUCAGAUUCUCCUUUGGAGGAAGUAUCUUCUUCCCUUCAUUCUCGGUGAAUGGCAUCCAGAGAUAACCAAAAUCAGGUGUAUCUAGUUUCAAGUUCUGUCUUGCAACCGUGAUAAUUGGAGGAUGCAAACUUUACACUUUCUUCUCUAGCUGUCUACCACCACUGCUGCGCUUGUGGAUGACUGCAGGAACACCGGGUACUUGCCACAAGUAUCUCUCCAGAUUCAUCAGCCUUUCACCUGUGACAAGCUCAGUCAAGAAGUGGCUCCUAAGUAAAAGCUGGGGAAGAACAAGGAAGAUAGAGCUCAGAGUAGAAAGCUGUGAAGUUCUGCACAACAGGUCCCCUUGGCCUGCUCUAACAGUUGGAAGACAGGCAUGGUAGCUCAUGUGGAAGCUUCCCGAGGCCCUCACCCAGAAGCAGAUGCUGGAGCCAUGCUUGUACAGCUUGCAGAACUAAAGCCCAGCUGGCUUGGUUCCAUGAAUCUUUGCCCUUCUUUCCAUCCACUUCUUCCUGCUUGGACAUUGGUUACCUGGAGAAGCAGAAGCCAUUUUAAGAUGAUGAAAGCAAAAGUUAAAUGUAUGAGAUGAUGGUGCAGAAAGCCAAAAGGGGCCUCCAGAACACUGAGCUUUGUGGAGUCGUGUACCAUAGCUGUAUUGCCGACCUCUGAACUUCCUGCUGAGAUAAAAAACAAUCCUUAUGUGUUUAUACUACUUUUAUUUCAGUUUCUUUUAAGUAUAGCAAACACAUUCCAAAUAAUAUGCAUCUGAAGUUUUUGGUUUUGUUUUUAAAUUUUUUUUUUAGGGAUGGGUUCUGGCUGCGUAGUGGCUAGAGUGUAGUGGCUA
rnacentral:lncRNA from 1 species